UAUUUACUUUAUUCUUUACCUUAAUGCUUUAAAAUCUGAUGAAACAAAUAUAUGUCUCCUCAGACAUUACAAGUGGACUGUGGGACUAAAUCUUAACACUCCAUCAUGUUAACAUUAGAUUUGCCCAUAAAAAUCUUUUGAAGUUCUCUCCUUCUAUUAGAAGGACUGGCAGCACUUGUAAAGUUUUCAUGGCGGCAUAGCUUUGAAGAAAUCACCUGUACAUGAAGUUUUAUGCAUCAUUUUGUGAGGGAAAUAACUGAAAAAGGGCCAAAAAAUUGAAUAAUAUAAUAUAAAUGUUAUUUAUAUACUUUAAUUUGCAUGAGUUUGAAAAAUUAUUAUUUUAUUAUCAUCUGUCACCGUUGAGACUACAUACGUCUCACUCAAAAAAACUAAUGGGACAUCAGUGUCCCAGGUUCUGCUUGCAAAAUGUGAUUCUAGAUUUUAAAAAUAUUAAUGACAAAAAAAACGUGCUGCCAAUGGAGCAACUUUCUCUAUAAAAAAUUAGAAGUCUAUUUUGAAAGUGUUAAGCUAAAAGUUAUACAUCUAUUUUACAGAUAGUUUUAACAGAAGCAUACAGAUAUUACAGAAAAACUGACGUAAAAGAAGACAAUGACAUUUAUUUUUUGGGAUGGAAAGUUCCAUUUAUGUUCCAGAGAGUUGAUGUGCAAGCCAGAUUUCAAUUGCAGCAAUGCUGAAUAUUCUCACUUUUAUGUCGAAAAUUUCUCUUGCACAAACAAGGAUUUGGAUGACGAAGAAGAUCUGAGGUAUUAUUUUUAUAUUAUUAAUAUAAUAUUAAAUAAUCUUUAAUCUGAAAUACACCCGAUCCUGAACUCUUUUUACACCUUAAUGAUAGGAAAUCAAAUAAAAAAAUAUUAUUUAAAUUAAAAAUAAAACACGUAAACGUAAAUAUAACAAACCAAUUUUUUUAAACAUUUCUGUGUUCAUAUUCUAUUACAUUACUUUUCCCCUUCAAAUUUUAGCAUUUCUCUACAGUUUUUACAUCGGGUGUUCUUUUUAUAUCGGGGGUUCACUCUCAGUAUAUCUAUAGAAUACCUGCAAAAUUUUGAAGUUUGAAACUAGUUUAGAAGUUUAGAAA